GGGGAAUAUUGGACAAUGGGCGCAAGCCUGAUCCAGCCAUGCCGCGUGAGUGAUGAAGGCCUUAGGGUUGUAAAGCUCUUUCACCGGAGAAGAUAAUGACGGUAUCCGGAGAAGAAGCCCCGGCUAACUUCGUGCCAGCAGCCGCGGUAAUACGAAGGGGGCUAGCGUUGUUCGGAAUUACUGGGCGUAAAGCGCACGUAGGCGGGCAUUUAAGUCAGGGGUGAAAUCCCAGAGCUCAACUCUGGAACUGCCUUUGAUACUGGGUGUCUUGAGUAUGGAAGAGGUAAGUGGAAUUCCGAGUGUAGAGGUGAAAUUCGUAGAUAUUCGGAGGAACACCAGUGGCGAAGGCGGCUUACUGGUCCAUUACUGACGCUGAGGUGCGAAAGCGUGGGGAGCAAACA
rnacentral:rRNA from 1 species